AUGAACGCUAGCUACAGGCUUAACACAUGCAAGUCGAGGGGCAGCAUUUUAGUUUGCUUGCAAACUGAAGAUGGCGACCGGCGCACGGGUGAGUAACACGUAUCCAACCUGCCGAUAACUCCGGGAUAGCCUUUCGAAAGAAAGAUUAAUACCGGAUAGUAUACGAAUAUCGCAUGAUAUUUUUAUUAAAGAAUUUCGGUUAUCGAUGGGGAUGCGUUCCAUUAGUUUGUUGGCGGGGUAACGGCCCACCAAGACUACGAUGGAUAGGGGUUCUGAGAGGAAGGUCCCCCACAUUGGAACUGAGACACGGUCCAAACUCCUACGGGAGGCAGCAGUGAGGAAUAUUGGUCAAUGGGCGCGAGCCUGAACCAGCCAAGUAGCGUGAAGGAUGAAGGCUCUAUGGGUCGUAAACUUCUUUUAUAUGGGAAUAAAGUUUUCCACGUGUGGAAUUUUGUAUGUACCAUAUGAAUAAGGAUCGGCUAACUCCGUGCCAGCAGCCGCGGUAAUACGGAGGAUCCGAGCGUUAUCCGGAUUUAUUGGGUUUAAAGGGAGCGUAGGUGGAUUGUUAAGUCAGUUGUGAAAGUUUGCGGCUCAACCGUAAAAUUGCAGUUGAAACUGGCAGUCUUGAGUACAGUAGAGGUGGGCGGAAUUCGUGGUGUAGCGGUGAAAUGCUUAGAUAUCACGAAGAACUCCGAUUGCGAAGGCAGCUCACUAGACUGUCACUGACACUGAUGCUCGAAAGUGUGGGUAUCAAACAGGAUUAGAUACCCUGGUAGUCCACACAGUAAACGAUGAAUACUCGCUGUUUGCGAUAUACAGUAAGCGGCCAAGCGAAAGCAUUAAGUAUUCCACCUGGGGAGUACGUUCGCAAGAAUGAAACUCAAAGGAAUUGACGGGGACCCGCACAAGCGGUGGAGCAUGUGGUUUAAUUCGAUGCUACGCGAGGAACCUUACCCGGGCUUAGAUUGCAACAGAAUAGAUUGGAAGCAGUAUAGCCGUAAGGCUGUUGUGAAGGUGCUGCAUUGUUGUCGUCAGCUCGUGCCGUGAGGUGUCGGCUUAAGUGCCAUAACGAGCGCAACCCUUAUCUUUAGUUACUAACAGGUGAUGCUGAGGACUCUAGAGAGACUGCCGUCGUAAGAUGUGAGGAAGGUGGGGAUGACGUCAAAUCAGCACGGCCCUUACGUCCGGGGCUACACACGUGUUACAAUGGGGGGUACAGAAGGCGGCUACCUGGUGACAGGAUGCUAAUCCCAAAAACCUCUCUCAGUUCGGAUCGAAGUCUGCAACCCGACUUCGUGAAGCUGGAUUCGCUAGUAAUCGCGCAUCAGCCAUGGCGCGGUGAAUACGUUCCCGGGCCUUGUACACACCGCCCGUCAAGCCAUGAAAGCCGGGGGUACCUGAAGUACGUAACCGCAAGGAGCGUCCUAGGGUAAAACUGGUAAUUGGGGCU
rnacentral:rRNA from 1 species